rnacentral:tRNA from 1 species
UGCCGUGACCAGGAUACGAACUUGGGUUAUUGCGGCUACAACGCAAUGUCCUAACAACUAGACGAUCACGGC